rnacentral:rRNA from 1 species
GAUGAACGCUGGCGGCGUGCUUAACACAUGCAAGUCGAACGGGAUCCAAGGGGUGCUUGCACUUUUUGGUGAGAGUGGCGAACGGGUGAGUAACACGUGAGUAACCUGUCCUUUUCUUUGGGAUAAGCAUUCGAAAGGGUGUUUAAUACCUUAUGUUCUGUCUGCCUCGCAUGGGGUGGGUGGGAAAGGCUUUGGCCGGAUUUGGGUGGGCUCGCGGUCUAUCAGCUUGUUGGUGGGGUGAUGGCUUACCAAGGCUUUGACGGGUAGCCGGCGUGAGAGGGUGGUCGGACACAUGCGGACUGAGAUCAGGCCCAGACACCUGCGGGAGGCAGCAGUGGGUGAUAUUGCACAAUGGGCGAAAGCCUGAUGCAGCGACGCCGCGUGGGGGAUGAAGGCCUUCGGGUUGUAAACUUCUUUAGCUCUGAACAAGGCAUGCCAGUGGGUGUGUUGAGUGUAGGGGUUGAUUAGCGCCGGCUAACUACGUG